AGUGAACGCUGGCGGUAGGCCUAACACAUGCAAGUCGAACGGCAGCACAGUAAGCGCUUUCUUUUACGGUUGGCGAGUGGCGGAUGGGUGAGGAAUACAUCGGAAUCUACUUUUUCGUGGGGGAUAACGUAGGGAAACUUACGCUAAUACCGCAUACGACCUACGGGUGAAAGCAUGGGAUCUUCUGACCUUGCGCGAUUGAAUGAGACGAUGUCGGAUUAGCUAGUUGGCGGGGUAAAGGCCCACCAAGGCGACGAUCCGUAGCUGGUCUGAGAGGAUGAUCAGCCACACUGGAACUGAGACACGGUCCAGACUCCUACGGGAGGCAGCAGUGGGGAAUAUUGGACAAUGGGCGCAAGCCUGAUCCAGCAAUGCCGCGUGGGUGAAGAAGGCCUUCGGGUUGUAAAGCCCUUUUGUUGGGAAAGAAAAGCAGCAGGUUAAUACCCCGCUAUUCUGACGGUACCCAAAGAAUAAGCACCGGCUAACUUCGUG
rnacentral:rRNA from 1 species